rnacentral:rRNA from 1 species
UACGAAGGGGGCUAGCGUUGUUCGGAUUUACUGGGCGUAAAGCGCACGUAGGCGGAUUGUUAAGUCAGGGGUGAAAUCCUGGAGCUCAACUCCAGAACUGCCUUUGAUACUGGGGAUCUUGAGUCCGGGAGAGGUGAGUGGAACUGCGAGUGUAGAGGUGAAAUUCGUAGAUAUUCGCAAGAACACCAGUGGCGAAGGCGGCGACCUGGUCCGAUACUGACGCUGAGGCGCGAAAGCGUGGGGAGCAACAGG